GGUUGUUUGUUUUUUUCUUGUAAAUUUGUUUGAGUUCUUUGUAGGUUCUGGAUAUUAGCCCUUUGUCAGAUGAGUAGAUUGCAAAAAUUUUCUCCCAUUCUGUAGGUUGCGUGUUCACUCUGAUGGUAGUUUCUUUUGCAGCGCAGAAGCUCUUUAGUUUAAUUAGAUCCCAUUUGUCAGUUUUGGCUUUUGUUGCCAUUGCUUUUGGUGAUUUAGACAUGAAGUCCUUGCCCAUGCCUAUGUCCUGAAUGGUAUUGCCUAGGUUUUCUACUAGGGUUUUUAUGGUUUUAGGUCUAAGAUUUAAGUCUCUAAUCCAUCCUGAAUUAAGUUUUGUAUAAGGAGUAAGGAAGGGAUCCAAUUUCAGCUUUUAUUUUAAGGCUUGUUUUAUUUUAAUGGCUGAUCUAUGUAAUCACGGAGGCCAGUAUGUACAGACAAAGGGGGAGCUUUUAUUUAUUGGUCUCUUCCUCCUUGGACAAAGUCUUGAUGAUCUCCUCCUUCUUGGCCUGGAGGCAUUCUUCAUGACGUUUGCCUGCUUCCUUGGUCUUAGACCUGCGGGCCUCAGCCUGGUCAGCCAGGAGCUUCUUGAGGGCCUUGUCUGCCUUCAGCUUGUGGAUGUGUUCCAUGAGAAUAUGUGGCCACAGCCGUGAGUAUGCUCAGGCUUCAGAAGAGGCUCGCCUCUAGUGUCCUCCACUGUGGGAAGAAGAAGGUCUGGUUAGACACCAGUGAGACCAAUGAAAUAGCCAGUGCCAACUCCCGUCAGCAGAUCCAGAAGCUGAUCAAAGAUGGGCUGAUCAACUGCAAGCCUGUGACGGUCCAUUCCUGGGUGCGAUGCCAGAAAAACACGUUGGCCCGCCUGAAGGGCAGGCACAUGGGCAUAGGUAAGCGGAAGGGUACAGCCAAUGCCCGAAUGCCAAAGAAGGUCACGUGGAUGAGGAGAAUGAGAAUUCUGCUCCAGUUGCUCAGAAGACACUGUGAGUCUAAGAAGAUUGAUCCACGUGUAUCACAGCCUGUACCUGAAGGUGAAGGGGAAUGUGCUCAAGAAUAGCUCAAAAUAG